rnacentral:lncRNA from 1 species
GCCCGAGUGCGCGUGUCUUUGGCGCGGGCUUCCAUGGUCUCGGCGGCCAGCGAUCGGCUUUGAGGAGCAGGAACUGCGGGCAGCAAAAGAGGCGUGAUCAGGGGUUCUUAUUGGUGUGGGCCACACCCUCUCAUUUGUCACCAGACCCCGCCUUCAGCAGUCAGGGACUCCAGCCUCACCCUGAAUUCAUUCAUUCUGCAACUAGUGAGUGCGUGGGACGAGAGGGUGAAUCAGACCCUUCCUGACCUCGGGGAGUUCAGGGCACGGUGGGGAAAUAUGGAUCUAGCCUCCAGCCAUGACAGCCUAGGGCUGUCAAGAAGCCAUCAAGACCCUGGGACCCUUUACACAUCGGGAAGGCUUCCCAGAGAAAGUGAGGCCUAAACCGGGCCCUGAAAAAAAUGGUUAAGAGGUUGCUCCAGGGACACAUUGGCAAAAGAAUUCUUGGCAGAAGAACCUGAGACGUGAAAGAAACAGCUUUUAAAGACAGGUAUUGCUGCAUAGCCCAGGUUGGCCUGGAAUUCACAAUUCUCUUGUUUCAGCCUCAAGUGCUGGGAUUACAGACAUGUGCCACUACAUCUGACAAGCUUUUCUUCUGUUUUUAAUUUUUUUUUUAUUAAAACACUUCCAUGU